UACGUAGGGUGCAAGCGUUAUCCGGAAUUAUUGGGCGUAAAGAGCUCGUAGGCGGUUUGUCGCGUCUGCUGUGAAAACCCGAGGCUCAACCUCGGGCCUGCAGUGGGUACGGGCAGACUAGAGUGCGGUAGGGGAGAUUGGAAUUCCUGGUGUAGCGGUGGAAUGCGCAGAUAUCAGGAGGAACACCGGUGGCGAAGGCGGGUCUCUGGGCCGAAAUUGACGCUGAGGAGCGAAAGCGUGGGGAGCAAACAGG
rnacentral:rRNA from 1 species